AUUGAACGCUGGCGGAAUGCUUUACACAUGCAAGUCGAACGAUGAACCUUAGCUUGCUAAGGGGAUUAGUGGCGAACGGGUGAGUAAUGUAUCGGAACGUAUCCAAUAAUGGGGGAUAACUAGUCGAAAGAUUAGCUAAUACCGCAUACGUCCUACGGGAGAAAGCUAGGGACCUUCGGGCCUGGCGUUAAUGGAGCGGCCGAUAUCUGAUUAGCUAGUUGGUGGGGUAAAGGCUCACCAAGGCGCCGAUCAGUAGCUGGUCGGAGAGGACGACCACACACACUGGAACUGAGACACGUUCCAGACCCCUAGGGGAGGGAGCAGUGGGGAAUUUUGGCCAAUGGGCGAAAGCCUGAUCCAGCCAUCCCGCGUGAGUGAAGAAGGCCUUCGGUUUGUAAAGCUCUUUCGCAAGGGAAGAAAACUUAAGCUCUAACAUAGCUUGAGGUUGACGGUACCUUGAUAAAAAGCACCGGCUAACUAGGUGCCAGCCGCCGCCGUAA
rnacentral:rRNA from 1 species